rnacentral:rRNA from 1 species
AGUAUGUGGUUUAAUUCGACGCAACGCGCAGAACCUUUACCUGGUCUUGACAUCCCGAGAAUCUUCUGGAAACAGUUGAGUGCCUUCAACCGAAGGAGCUUGGAGACAGGUGCUGCAUGGCUGUCGUCAGCUCGUGUCGUGAGAUGUUGGGUUAAGUCCCGCAACGAGCGCAACCCUCGCCUUUAGUUGCCAGCAUUAAGUUGGGCACUCUAGAGGGACUGCCGGUGUCAAACCGGGGAAGGUGGGGAUGACGUCAAGUCCUCAUGGCCUUUAUGACCAGGGCUACACACGUACUACAAUGGCCGGCACAAAGGGCAGCAAGCCUGCGAAGGUAAGCUAAUCCCGAAAAACCGGUCUCAGUCCGGAUCGCAGUCUGCAACUCGACUGCGUGAAGUUGGAAUCGCUAGUAAUCGUGGAUCAGCAUGCCACGGUGAAUACGUUCCCGGGCCUU